UACAGAGGGGGCGAGCGUUGUUCGGAAUUACUGGGCGUAAAGGGCGCGUAGGCGGCCCGCUAAGUCGAACGUGAAAUCCCCAGGCUCAACCUGGGAACUGCGUCCGAUACUGGCAGGCUUGAAUCCGGGAGAGGGAUGUGGAAUUCCAGGUGUAGCGGUGAAAUGCGUAGAUAUCUGGAGGAACACCGGUGGCGAAGGCGGCAUCCUGGGCAGAUACUGACGCUGAGGUGCGAAAGCGUGGGGAGCAAACAGG
rnacentral:rRNA from 1 species